rnacentral:tRNA from 1 species
UGGAAAAGUAGCCAUAGGUAAGGCGAGUCAAUUGCUAUUUGAUGUCUUUUAGACCUGGAAGUUCGAAUCUUUCCUUUUCCG